rnacentral:rRNA from 1 species
GAUGAACGCUGGCGGCGUGCCUAACACAUGCAAGUCGAACGAGAUGCGUAUCGGAAAGCUUCGGCCGGAAGAUACGUGAUCUAGUGGCGGACGGGUGAGUAACACGUGGGUAACCUGCCUUAUGGAGGGGGAUAACAGAGAGAAAUCACUGCUAAUACCGCAUAAGCACACAUUGCCGCAUGGCAGAGUGUGAAAAGAUUUAUCGCCAUAAGAUGGACCCGCGUCUGAUUAGCCAGUUGGCAGGGUAAAAGCCUACCAAAGCAACGAUCAGUAGCCGAUCUGAGAGGAUGACCGGCCACAUUGGGACUGAGACACGGCCCAAACUCCUACGGGAGGCAGCAGUGGGGAAUAUUGCACAAUGGGGGAAACCCUGAUGCAGCGACGCCGCGUGAGUGAAGAAGUAUUUCGGUAUGUAAAGCUCUAUCAGCAGGGAAGAUAAUGACAGUACCUGACUAAGAAGCCCCGGCUAACUACGUGCCAGCAGCCGCGGUAAUACGUAGGGGGCAAGCGUUAUCCGGAUUUACUGGGUGUAAAGGGAGCGUAGACGGAGUGGCAAGUCUGAAGUGAAAACCCUGGGCUUAACCUGGGGACUGCUUUGGAAACUGUUAAUCUAGAGUGUUGGAGAGGUAAGUGGAAUUCCUGGUGUAGCGGUGAAAUGCGUAGAUAUCAGGAAGAACACCGGAGGCGAAGGCGGCUUACUGGACAAUAACUGACGUUGAGGCUCGAAAGCGUGGGGAUCAAACAGG